rnacentral:lncRNA from 1 species
UUAUGCUGACACUCAGAGACACCGUCUUGGUCCGAACUACCUUCAGCUGCCAGUUAAUGCACCCAAAUGUGCUCAUCACAACAAUCACCAUGAGGGGUUCAUGAACUUCAUGCACAGGGACGAGGAGGUAUAUGAAAUAUGACAGUAUAUUAGUAUCUUUAUAUUAAACUUUUGGAAGCUAGAAUGUGGUUAUCUUACAAGAAGAUAUGUUGUUAUAGGUAAACUACUUCCCAUCGAGGUAUGAUCCUGUUCGUCAUGCUGAGAAGUAUCCAACUCCACCUGCUGUCUGCUCUGGGAAACGUGAGAGGGUAAGUAAUCAUAUCAACACAAGGAUUUUUCACACAAGAAACAUAUGAACUAAUAGUUUACUGUUGUGUGUUUGCAGUGUGUUAUUGAGAAAGAGAACAACUUCAAGGAGCCUGGAGAGAGAUACCGUUCCUUU